UGACCCCAGGUCAGGCGGGAUCACCCGCUGAGAUUAAGCAUAUCAAUAAGCGAAGGAAAAGAAACUAACAAGGAUUCCCUUAGUAACGGCGAGCGAACCGGGAAGAGCCUAGCUUGAAAAUCAGACGUCUUUGGCGUUCGAAUUGUAGUCUGCAGAAGCGUCCUCAGCGACGAACCUGGCCCAAGUUCCCUGGAAAGGGCACCAGAGAGGGUGAGAGCCCCAUCGUGCCCGGACACUGUCGCACCACGAGGUGCAGUCUACGAGUCGGGUUGUUUGGGAAUGCAGCCCCAAUAGGGCGGUAAAUUCCGUCCAAGGCUAAAUAUAGGCGAGAGACCAAUAGCGAACAAGUACCGCGAGGUAAAGAUGAAAAGGACUUUGAAAAGAGAGUCAAAGAGUGCUUGAAAUUGUCAGGAGGGAAGCGGAUGGGGGCCGGCGAUUCAUCCCGGUCAGAUGCGGAACGGAGCAAUCCGGUCCGCCGAUCGAUUUGGGCCGUGGCCCGACACGGAUUGAGGUGGUGACCUAAGCCCGGGCUUUUGGUACGCCCGCGGAGACGUUGCUGCCUUAAUCGUGGUCUGCAGCAUGCGCCUCACGGCGUGCCUCGGCAUCUGCGUGCUCAAGGCUUCGGCCUGUGGGCUCCCCAUUCGACCCGUUUUGAAACACGGACCAAGGAGUCUGACAUGUGUGCCAGUCAACGGGUGAGUAAACCCAUAAGGCGCAAGGAAGCUGAUUGGCUGGAUCCCGCACGGGUGCACAGCCGACCGACCUUGAUCUUCUGACAAGGGUUCGACUGUGAGCAUGCCUGUCGGGACCCGAAAGAUGGUGAACUGUGCCUGAGCGGGGUGAAGCCAGAGAAAACUCUGGUGGAGGCCCGCAGCGAUACUGACGUGCAAAUCGUUCGUCUGACUUGGGUAUAGGGCCAACAGACUAAUCAAACCAUCUAGUAGCUGGUUCCCUCCGAAGUUUCCCUCAGGAUAGCUGGAGCUCGGAAACGAGUUAUAUCGAGUAAAGCCAAUGAUUAGAGGCACCGGGGACACCAUGUCUGCGACCUAUUCUCAAACUUUAAAUAGGUAGGACAGUGUAGGAACCCGUUAAAAAAAAGAAAAAGAAAAGAGUGGUCGAGUAUCUUUGUGGUGGUCGAGUCACGGGCGAUAAGGAUCGAUCGAGAAGUUUUGAAGUACGAGGUGGGCGAAGAAGUGAUCGUGAGUGAACUAUGAGUCGAAUAAUUUGCUCGACCAUAGUUAGAAGAUGUCUUAGAUUGAUGAGACGGACGUUUUGGAAGCAUAACAUUUUUGAAAGCACGACGGUUUAGAAGCUCGACGUUUUGGAAGAAUGACGUUUCUUCAGCACGAAGUUUUCCACGAAACUUCGUAUCAGCGGAAUAUUAUUUUGAAGACAUUGGAAGAAUGACAGGAAUUAAGCACGACGGGAAGCAAGCACGACGGGAAAACCCGAAAUUAGACGAAAGCUCUAAUUUCGGUAUUAUGCAAGUCUUCGAUGAAGCCGAAGGAUCGGGAAAUAUUUUUCAUCAAGGUCAGAAAUAUUUAGGAGUCUCUGAAUAAUAAUUAGAUCAUCAGAACAGGAGCGGAAAAUUAUUCGGGAUUGAUCGCGGGAUGAAAAUUUACCGGAAGGACCGAAAUCAGGCCAAUGGACCGAGAAGCUUGAGGUGGCUCGUUGCAUGGGUUCAGAACGUGGUGUGAACUGUCCAGAAAACUGAGUGUCUACAGAAGCUCGAGGUGUCAUCAUGCAUGGAAGCUGCACAUGCAGCUUGACAUGUAGAAGCACGAGGUGGAUCGGCCAAGUACGAGAUGUCGCGACCGCAUGCAACCGAAGCAUGCUGAUCGACAUGUGUGAGGAUGUGUGGCGCCUUGCAUGAGCUCCAGUCAUGCAGCCUGACAUCUGGGAGGAGUGGUGGCGUCCUGCAUGUGUCCUGGAA
rnacentral:ncRNA from 1 species